rnacentral:ncRNA from 1 species
AAAAAGGCGAUGACGGGAAGAGUAAGCAGGGAAUGCGGUUAAAGAGAGCCGGGGAAGGUGAGAGCCGGUACCGAGAACCCUGCCGAACAUGGCCCCCGAGCUUGUGCCGCUGAAAUGAAAAGUAGGCGGUGACGGCCAGGUCCGUUAAAACCUCAGAGGCCUUAAAGGCGAAUUAGGGUGGUACCGCGGGUAUGCCCCCGCCCCUUCA